rnacentral:rRNA from 1 species
CGGUGAGUAAUACAUCGGAACGUGUCUUCUAGUGGGGGAUAACUGCCCGAAAGGGCAGCUAAUACCGCAUGAGACCUGAGGGUGAAAGCGGGGGAUCGCAAGACCUCGCGCUGGAAGAGCGGCCGAUGUCCGAUUAGCUAGUUGGUGAGGUAAAGGCUCACCAAGGCGACGAUCGGUAGCUGGUCUGAGAGGACGACCAGCCACACUGGGACUGAGACACGGCCCAG